rnacentral:rRNA from 1 species
GGUGCUUGCAUCAUGAUUUACAUUUGAGUGAGUGGCGAACUGGUGAGUAACACGUGGGAAACCUGCCCAGAAGCGGGGGAUAACACCUGGAAACAGAUGCUAAUACCGCAUAACAACUUGGACCGCAUGGUCCGAGNUUGAAAGAUGGCUUCGGCUAUCACUUUUGGAUGGUCCCGCGGCGUAUUAGCUAGAUGGUGGGGUAACGGCUCACCAUGGCAAUGAUACGUAGCCGACCUGAGAGGGUAAUCGGCCACAUUGGGACUGAGACACGGCCCAAACUCCUACGGGAGGCAGCAGUAGGGAAUCUUCCACAAUGGACGAAAGUCUGAUGGAGCAACGCCGCGUGAGUGAAGAAGGGUUUCGGCUCGUAAAACUCUGUUGUUAAAGAAGAACAUAUCUGAGAGUAACUGUUCAGGUAUUGACGGUAUUUAACCAGAAAGCCACGGCUAACUACGUGCCAGCAGCCGCGGUAAUACGUAGGUGGCAAGCGUUGUCCGGAUUUAUUGGGCGUAAAGCGAGCGCAGGCGGUUUUUUAAGUCUGAUGUGAAAGCCUUCGGCUCAACCGAAGAAGUGCAUCGGAAACUGGGAAACUUGAGUGCAGAAGAGGACAGUGGAACUCCAUGUGUAGCGGUGAAAUGCGUAGAUAUAUGGAAGAACACCAGUGGCGAAGGCGGCUGUCUGGUCUGUAACUGACGCUGAGGCUCGAAAGUAUGGGUAGCAAACAGGAUUAGAUACCCUGGUAGUCCAUACCGUAAACGAUGAAUGCUAAGUGUUGGAGGGUUUCCGCCCUUCAGUGCUGCAGCUAACGCAUUAAGCAUUCCGCCUGGGGAGUACGGCCGCAAGGCUGAAACUCAAAGGA